UAUGAAGGCGAGGCCAGGUUUGGGAC
rnacentral:piRNA from 1 species